rnacentral:rRNA from 1 species
CUACGGGAGGCACCAGUAGGGAAUAUUGCGCAAUGGGCGAAAGCCUGACGCAGCAACGCCGCGUGAGUGAGGAAGGUCUUCGGAUUGUAAAGCUCUGUUAAGGUGGAAAAACGGACUUUGGUCCAAUAGGCCAGAGUAGUGAUGGUACACCUAGAGGAAGCACCGGCUAACUUCGUGCCAGCAGCCGCGGUAAUACGAAGGGUGCGAGCGUUGUUCGGAUUUAUUGGGCGUAAAGCGCGCGCAGGCGGAAUAACAAGUCAGGUGUGAAAUCUCGGGGCUCAACCCCGAAACUGCGCCUGAAACUGUUAAUCUAGAAUCUCGGAGAGGGCAGGGGAAUUUCUUAUGUAGGAGUAAAAUCCGUAGAGAUAAGAAGGAACACCAGAGGCGAAGGCGCCUGCCUGGACGAGUAUUGACGCUGAGGCGCGAAAGCGUGGGGAGCAAACAGGAUUAGAUACCCCAGUAGUC